rnacentral:rRNA from 1 species
UACGUAGGGGGCAAGCGUUAUCCGGAUUUACUGGGUGUAGAGGGAGCGUAGACGGCCAGACAAGUCUGAAGUGAGAAUCCAGCGCUUAACGUUGGAAGUGCUUUGGAAACUGCCGGGCUGGAGUGCAGGAGGGGCAGGCGGAAUUCCUAGUGUAGCGGUGAAAUGCGUAGAUAUUAGGAGGAACACCAGUGGCGAAGGCGGCCUGCUGGACUGCAACUGACGUUGAGGCUCGAAGGCGUGGGGAGCAAACAGG